rnacentral:rRNA from 1 species
AUAGUAAAACUUGUUUAAAAGAGUAGGAAAGAAAAAGAUUUUAAAUUUUAAGAAAAAAUAGUAAUUAGAAAUGAAUGUAAAAAAAAGGCUAAAGAGGAAAGUAUUGAAAAAGAAAGUUGAAAAAUGGAAAAAAUAAGAAUAAAGAAAAAAUAAAAGUUUGUACCUUGUGUAUUAGGGUUAAUCUAAAUUAUUCUAGUAUUUAUGAAAAUCCCGAAAAAAAAAGAGCUAAAAUAAAAGGAAAGUUUUUGUGUUAGGAAGAUUUAAAAUUUUAUUUUUGUAGUGAAAUGUUAGUCGUGUUUUUAUAUCUGGUUUUUUUUGAAAAAAAUUUAAUUUUUUUUUUAUUUAAAAAUUAAAUAGAAAAUAAGGGUAGGAGGGGUGAGCUUCUUACCCAAGAAAAUGAAGUUAAUAUAGGAGAUUUAAAAUUUGGUUAAUUAGAUUAGGCUUAAAAGUGGCUAUAUUGGGAAAGUGUUUAAACUAAUUUUAUGCUUAAUUUAGAUUUAUGUUUUGUUUAUUAAGGUAGAAAAAAUAUUUAAAAAUUAAAAAUUUAAUAGUUAAAAUGAUUAUAUUAGUAUAAGUUUGUUGUGAGGAGAUUAAAGUAGGAGUGUUUAAAGAGAAGAGAAUAAAAAAAAAUAAAGAUAAUUAAAAGGAACUCGGCAAAAAAAUCUUCUGCCUGUUUAUCAAAAACAUGUCUGUAUGAUUGGUGUAUAGAGUCUGGCCUGCCCACUGAUUUUAAGAGAUUAAAGGGCCGCGGUAUAUUGACCGUGCGAAGGUAGCAUAAUCAUUAGUCUUUUAAUUGGAGGCUGGAAUGAAUGGUUUUACAAGAAGUUUACUGUCUUUAUAUUAAAAUUUGAACUUUACUUUUAAGUGAAAAGGCUUAAAUAAUUUAAAGGGACGAUAAGACCCUAUAAAACUUUACAUUGAAAAGUAUUUUAGUGAAUUAUUUGUAUAAAUUUAAAGAAGCUUUUGGUAUGUUUUGUUGGGGCGACAAGAAUAAAAUAGGAAUUGUAACUGUUAGAUGAGAAAACAAAUAAUUUUUGAAAGGUUAAUAAUGGUCCUUAAAAAAGAGUAGAAGAUUAAGUUACUUUAGGGAUAACAGCGUUAUUUUUUUGGAGAGUUCUUAUCAAUAAAAAAGAUUGCGACCUCGAUGUUGAAUUAAAAUUUCUUUAUAAUGUAGCAGUUAUAGGAGAAAGUCUGUUCGACUUUUAAAAUUUUACAUGAUUUGAGUUCAAACCGGUGUGAGCCAGGUUGGUUUCUAUCUUUUAAAGGAAAAAAAGCGCUUUAGUACGAGAGGACCAGGUGGUUUAAAUAAUUUAUGAAGAGUUAGAAUAUUACU